AUCUCCAGUCUCAAGUGUGGACUAAACAAGCAAGUGCCCCUUGUGCAUCCCAGGUCUGCCCACCCUCACGAUUCUUCACAAGACACAGAGAAUCCUGCACAAAUGUUGACAGGAGGGCCAGUGAGCAGACCCGAAGACACCACUGAGGGAUCCCGAGGUCUCCCGUGAUCCCCAGUGUAUACAACAUAAACGGAGCAUGGACUUGGCAU